rnacentral:piRNA from 1 species
UGCUGGUAGUGGGCUCUGCCCUGAGGGC